rnacentral:rRNA from 1 species
CACGAACUGUGCGAACGUUAUUCGGAAUUACUGGGCUUAAAGAGUUCGUAGGCGGCUUGUUAAGUCGGGUGUGAAAUCCCUCGUCUCAACCGAGGAAUUGCGCUCGAAACUGGCGAGCUCGAGUAAGAUAGAGGUGAGCGGAACUGAUGGUGGAGCGGUGAAAUGCGUUGAUAUCAUCAGGAACACCGGUUGCGAAGGCGGCUCACUGGGUCUUUACUGACGCUGAGGAACGAAAGCUAGGGGAGCGAACGGG